GAUGAAGAACGUAGCGAAAUGCGAUAAGUAAUGUGAAUUGCAGAAUUCAGUGAAUCAUCGAAUCUUUGAACGCACCUUGCGCCCUUUGGCCAUUCCGAAGGGCAUGCCUGUUUGAGUAUCAUGAACACCUCAACUCUUUAUGGUUUUCCAUGAUGAGCUUGGACUCUGGGGGUUUUGCUGGCUCACAGUCGGCUCCUCUAAAAUGAAUCAGCUUACCAGUGUUUGGUGAGUAUCAUGGGUGUGAUAACUAUCUACGCUUGUGGUUUUUCCACCAGGUAACCUUCAGCAGUGGAGGUUCGCUGGAGCUCAUAGAUGUCUCUCCUCAGUGAGGACAGCCCUUUGAAUGUUUGAUCUCAAAUCAGGUAGGACUACCCGCUGAACUUAAGCAUAUCAAUAAGCGGAGGA
rnacentral:misc_RNA from 1 species